rnacentral:pre_miRNA from 1 species
CAUAUUAGUCAUAUGCGGCUUGUCCUUGGGGAAUGAUGAUUGGACCGAAGUUUUUUAGCGUUGGUUUGCCCAAUUAAAGCUUCGGACCAGGCUUCAUUCCCCUCGUAGAAGUUGCAUGAUGAUGCAAU